rnacentral:snoRNA from 1 species
CCCCUCUCGGGGUCACGCCUGGAGAGUUGCCAGUACUCUACCAGUGUCGGCUAUGGGAGGGAGAGUCGAGCAGAGGCCUACCCGUUCCAUUCCUAGCUUGGCCAGUGGCUAGCAAGUGGAAGGCACUCGCUACAAGU